AUUGAACGCUGGCGGCAUGCUUUACACAUGCAAGUCGAACGGUAACAGGCCUUCGGGUGCUGCUGAGUGGCGAACGGGUGCGUAAUGCAUCGGAAUGUGCCCAGAGGUGGGGGUUAACGCAGCGAAAGCUGUGCUAAUACACCCUGUGAUCUGAGGCUGCAUGCGGGGGACAAGGCAGCAACUUUUGGCCUCGCGCCUUUGGAGCGGCCGAUGUCUGAUUAGGUAGUUGGUGGGGUAAAGGCCUACCAAGCCGACGAUCUGUAGCUGGUCUGAGAGGACGACCAGCCACACUUGGACUGGAAAACGGGCCAGGCUCCCACGGGAGGCAGCAGGUGGGAAUUUUGGACAAUGGGGGGAAACCUGAUCCAGCAAAGCCGCGUGCGGGAAGGAGGCCUUCGGGUUUGAAACCGCUUUUGGACGGAACGAAAAGGCUCUGGCUAAUACCUGGGGCUGAUGACGGUACCGUAAGAAUAAGGAACGGCUUACUACGGU
rnacentral:rRNA from 1 species